GACGUAGGGGGGCCAGCGUUGCUCGGAAUUACUGGGCGUAAAGGGUCCGUAGGCGGUGCGGUAAGUCGGGGAGUGAAAUCUCUGGGCUUAACUCAGAGGCUGCUUCCGAAACUACCGUGCUAGAGUGCGAGAGAGGCAAGUGGAAUUGCGGGUGUAGCGGUGAAAUGCGUAGAUAUCCGCAGGAACAUCCGAGGCGAAAGCGGGCUGCUGGAUCGCAACUGACGCUGAGGGACGAAAGCUAGGGGAGCAAACAGG
rnacentral:rRNA from 1 species